AUAGUAUGUAUAAUUUUUAAAUUAAGUUUUUGACUUGCUUAAUCCUUUUUUUUUUAGUAAUGGAUCGUUGUAGAUGUGAAGAAUACGAGGAUGCUGUGAAAAAGCUCAGAUUCUACACAGUUGGAACACUAAGGCCGGAUAUAAUAGACAAUUAUAAUAGGUCUGGCUUUAUAGCAACCUGGGUUCGCCAUGGAGUGGACUACGAAGAUAUGAAGUUCUCUAAACCAAAAGCUUAUAGAGUGCUUGAUCCCAGUGAGUUGCCACAAAACAAGAUGGCGCCAGCUGUCAGGAAAGUUGAACAAAUGUGGUGUCCUUACCUUAUUACUAGACGCAAGUGGUAGUAUAGACUUAACGCUGCUAAUAUUUUGAUCUUUCAUAGUAAUAAAUUUAUUUUCAAAAAUUCGAGUGCC